CCUACGGGAGGCAGCAGUAGGGAAUCUUCCACAAUGGACGAAAGUCUGAUGGAGCAACGCCGCGUGAGUGAAGAAGGGUUUCGGCUCGUAAAACUCUGUUGUUAAAGAAGAACAUAUCUGAGAGUAACUGUUCAGGUAUUGACGGUAUUUAACCAGAAAGCCACGGCUAACUACGUGCCAGCAGCCGCGGUAAUACGUAGGUGGCAAGCGUUGUCCGGAUUUAUUGGGCGUAAAGCGAGCGCAGGCGGUUUUUUAAGUCUGAUGUGAAAGCCUUCGGCUCAACCGAAGAAGUGCAUCGGAAACUGGGAAACUUGAGUGCAGAAGAGGACAGUGGAACUCCAUGUGUAGCGGUGAAAUGCGUAGAUAUAUGGAAGAACACCAGUGGCGAAGGCGGCUGUCUGGUCUGUAACUGACGCUGAGGCUCGAAAGUAUGGGUAGCAAACAGGAUUAGAUACCCUGGUAGUC
rnacentral:rRNA from 1 species